AUCAGACUCAGAUAAGCACCCGGGCUCGGGGAUCCCCAGCCACUUCUCUGGAUCCAAAGGUACCUCGGCCAAUGCAGGGCUGCUGCUCAUCUCUGGGCUCCAGUGGUGUUGGGCUGAGGCUGUGCUGACUCAGCCUUGCUCGGUGUCAGAGUCCCUGGGGCAGAAGGCCACCAUCUCCUGCACCCGCAGCAGUGGCGAGAUUGGAGACAAAUAUGAGCAUUGGUGCCCACAGCACCCAGGCAGUGCACCCACCACCAUGAUGUACAAGGAUGACCAAAGACCCCCCAGGGUUCUUGAUCAGUUCUCUGGCCCCGUUGACAGCUCCUCCCAUGCUGCCUGCCUGGCCAUCUCUGGGCUGCAGACUGAGGAUGAGGCCGACUAG